rnacentral:rRNA from 1 species
GUGUCAGCCGCCGCGGUAAGACGAACCGAGCGAACGUUGUUCGGAAUCACUGGGCUUAAAGGGCGCGUAGGCGGGCUGUCAAGUCUGGGGUGAAAUCCCGCGGCUCAACCGUGGAACUGCCUCAGAUACUGACGGUCUCGAGGGAGGUAGGGGCGAGCGGAACUGAUGGUGGAGCGGUGAAAUGCGUUGAUAUCAUCAGGAACUCCGGUGGCGAAGGCGGCUCGCUGGACCUCUUCUGACGCUGAGGCGCGAAAGCCAGGGGAGCAAACGGGAUUAGAAACCCUCGUAGUCC